rnacentral:rRNA from 1 species
GACGAACGCUGGCGGCGUGCCUAAUACAUGCAAGUCGAGCGAAGCGGCGGAUGGGUGAGUAACGCGUGGUCAACCUGCCCUAAAGUUUGGGAUACAAUUUGGAUACAGAUGCCAAUACCGGAUACUAAAGGCGCGACCUUCCAUGCAUUAGAUAGUUGGGAAGGUAACGGCUAACACGGGCGAUGAUGCAUAGCCGAGUUGAGAGACUGAGCGGCAACAUUGGGACUGAGAAACGGGCCAAACGCCUACGGAAGGCAGCAGUAGGGAAUCUUCGAAAAUGACCGAAAGUCUGAGGGAGCAACGCGGCGUGAGUGAAGAAGGUUUUCGGAUGGUAAAGCUCUGUUGUUGGUGAAGCGGUAAUGAACCAGAAAGUCACGGCUAACUACGUGCCAGCAGCCGCGGUAAUUC